AAUCAAGUGCCUUAAGGGUGUUCGGUGGAUGCCUUGGCGCUGAGAGGCGAUGAAGGACGUGCUACGCUGCGAUAAGCCGUGGGGAGCUGCGAAGAAGCUUUGAUCCGCGGAUUUCCGAAUGGGGAAACCCACCUUCGAUAGCCGGAACUCCAAGACCUUGGUUUUGGGGUUCGAUUGGGAGACCGAGAGACUUC
rnacentral:rRNA from 1 species